UCCCAGACUCCUACGGGAGGCAGCCGUGGGGAAUAUUGCACAAUGGGGGGACCCCUGAUGCAGCGCCUCCUCGUGGGUGCAGGAGAAUUUCGGUCUGUCCAGCCCUAUCAUCCUGGAAGAACCCUGCCGGUACCUUCCUCCUAAGCACCUUCUCCCUACGUGCCCUCCUCCGCGGUACUCCUUCUGGUGCACUCUUUCUCCGGAUUUCCUGGGUGUAAAGGGAGCGCAGGCGGCGCGUUAAGCCUGGUGUGAAAGCCCGCGGCGCAACCGCGGGACUGCAGUGGGAACUGGCGCGCUGGAGUGACGGAGGGGGAGGCGGAAUUCCGAGUGUAGCGGUGAAAUGCGUAGAUAGGAGGAGGAACACCAGUGGCGAAGACGGCCUACUGGACGGUGACUGACGCUGAGGCUCGAAAGCGUGGGGAGCAAACAGGAUUAGAGACCCUGGUAAUA
rnacentral:rRNA from 1 species